GUGCCAGCAGCCGCGGUAAUACGUAGGCAGCGAGCGUUGUUCGGAGUUACUGGGCGUAAAGAGUGCGUAGGCGGUUUUCUAAGUUUGGUGUGAAAUCUCCCGGCUUAACUGGGAGGGUGCGCCGAAGACUGGAAGGCUUGAGUAUGGGAGAGGUAAGCGGAAUUCCUGGUGUAGCGGUGAAAUGCGUAGAUAUCAGGAGGAACACCUGCGGUGUAGACGGCUUACUGGACCAUCACUGACGCUGAGGCACGAAAGCGUGGGUAGCAAACAGGAUUAGAAACCCGCGUAGUCC
rnacentral:rRNA from 1 species